AAGAGAUUGUGUCCUCCAAACUCAUCAUUUUUCAGAUCCAGUUCUGAAUCUCGUUAGCAAGUUCAAAGCAAGGCCAAGAAGAUGCAAUUCCCACUGGAAACCUUAUGAGACAGUUAGAAGGGAAGGGGAGCAAAUGUUCACCAGGAUUUGGAAUGUGCAUGCACAGAUUGCGGAUAGAUAGACUGCCACCCUCGUCAUUGCAGAAGGAAA
rnacentral:lncRNA from 1 species